CCUGUGUUCUUGCAACAUGCUUCUAUAUUUAGCCGCACAAAAUUUACACGGGAGACCAGGGCUAUAUGUCACACUUUAUUCUAGAGUUCACAGCUCAUCCACAGAAAAUCCCACUGUCAGACCUGCAUUAAAUGAAAGCCCUUGACUUGAAGUAGACUUCCCUUCAUAUUGCGAUAAAUAGGAUCAACCGUCAAACACAAGAAAAUCUACUAUGACAAUGUCACGAUGCCUGGGGACGUCCUCUCUCAUCCUACUGCUCAGCCUCCUCACCGGGCUGGUUACCACGGUGAAGGCCCUAGAGCGAGAGGUCAGCUGUCGACGGCACGUGCACCCCGAGCUCAUCCGGGAACUGUGGAUUCGAACAAGGCAACUGCUGGAGAUACUGCCGAAAGAAGAAAAGCCUAUAAAAGUAAGACUCCUUCCCAAGUUCUGCACGAAAUGCUCUAAGAAGGCUAUUGGCUGGCUGGAGAUUCGAGAGAUGAUUGACAUUUACCAGCAGAGUGUGUUCAGUCAAGAUAAAAUCAAGACACUGCUCCCUCUACACUUUCCCGAUCUGCUCUACAGGCUUCAAUACACACUACACAACUGUGUUCCCACGGGUCAACCAUCAAAGUGGUCCAGAGACAUCAAGAAACUACAAAAGAAAAUCAAGAGACGACCUGGCGGAGCGGUAAAGGCAGUGAGAGAGUUUAUGCUCCUGCUGGGGUGGACUGGAGAGCUUUCACACCAGCAAGUCUUUUAGGAGCUCCUUUGUUAUGUUAUGCCAGUUUCAGUAUUAUUGUAGCAGGCUACUAUGAAGUGAAGGUGCUAAUGCUACAUUAUAUUAUGCCGUACAACAGUGGUUCUCAAACUGUGGUACUUACUUCAGGUUUUACUCUGGGUCAUCGACAAUUUCAGACUUUUCAUUUCAUGAGUUUAAACAUGUUUCCUUUUUUUAACACCCAUAUAGUAUAGUAUAGUAUAGUAUAGUAUAGUAGUCAACCUUUUUCGACCCAGUUUAGUCCUGAUUCGAUCUGGAUCUAAUCCUGGUGGUAGUUGGAAGGUCGACUAGUGCUCAGUGUGAUAGGUUUGUGAACCACUGCUAUGUAAUAUUCUUAAUCUUAUUCAUACUCAUUUGUAAUGUUGCUGAGAUAUUUUCAGCUUAGGUUUAUUUAAGGAAUAACUUAUUUUUUAUAUUUAUUCAAUUUUACUUAUAAUGUAAUAUGUUGAGCAAAAACACAAUAUAAAUUGUUCAUAUUUUAUUUUAUUUAUAAAGUAGGAAAUAAAUCACAUUUUUGUUACAG
ensembl:lncRNA